CCAUUCAUAGCCACUACACCAGCUCCAAAUUUAAAUUUAAAUGGCAACGGUCAAAAUCACAAAAUAAUACGCACGGGGGAUUUCUCUCUUGGAAAAGUUACAUCUGCCGAUUCAAGUUUCACGUGUAAAACUGUUUGGUCAGGAUUUGCAGCUAUUGGUGAUGACAAAUAUGCCGAAGUGUCUUGUCCUCAUGGAUACGUUAUGACUGGCUGUACUUCGGAAUCAAAGUCUCCCAGUGACAAAAAAGAUGGUGAAACUAUAGAAAGCCAUGGUAAGAUUUGUAGAGCAUGGGAUGGUUCAGGCUCAACAACACCGGUACAAGCAGCAGCACACUGCUGUAAGAAAACGGGCUUAACUUGUGACUACCAUCAAUCCCACCCUUCACCAUUAGCUUUAAAUGCUAGAGUUGAAACACCGUGUCCGGAACAUAUGUAUGCAACAGGUUGCUCAGCACAUAACUUCUUUCAUGAUAUGGCUGGUGCAUAUCCAACAACGACGUCUUGUAUUGCUCAAAAUCACGGAUAUACCAAAGGCAUCGAUUCAUUUGCUAUUUGCUGCAGUGCACCAAAUUUCCACUGUAUUACCGAAAAGUCCCGUCCCAGUGGUCUAGGUGUAGGUGAUGAGGCAAAACUUGGUUGUCCGUCUGGAUAUACAAUGACUGGGUGUCAUGGUUUCUCAGAAGACGGGGGAUUAUCUGCUACCUUUAUAUACAAUAAUGAAUGUUCAACAAAGAAUGGAGUUCAGAAAUCACCGGGGAUGAAUGGUGUAACCGCCUAUGCUACAUGCUG